UGGAUCAGACUUUGAUCAUGGCUCAGGAUGAACGCUAGCUACAGGCUUAACACAUGCAAGUCGAGGGGAAACGACAUCGAAAGCUUGCUUUUGAUGGGCGUCGACCGACGCACGGGUGAGUAACGCGUAUCCAACCUGCCCACCACUUGGGGAUAACCUUGCGUAAGUAAGACUAAUACCCAACGACGUCUCUAGAAGACAUCUGAAAGAGAUUAAAGAUUUAUCGGUGAUGGAUGGGGAUGCGUCUGAUUAGCUUGUUGGCGGGGUAACGGCCCACCAAGGCGACGAUCAGUAGGGGUUCUGAGAGGAAGGUCCCCCACAUUGGAACUGAGACACGGUCCAAACUCCUACGGGAGGCAGCAGUGAGGAAUAUUGGUCAAUGGGCGAGAGCCUGAACCAGCCAAGUAGCGUGCAGGAUGACGGCCCUAUGGGUUGUAAACUGCUCUUAUAAGGGAAUAAAGUGAGUCUCGUGAGACUUUUUGCAUGUACCUUAUGAAUAAGGACCGGCUAAUUCCGUGCCAGCAGCCGCGGUAAUACGGAAGGUCCGGGCGUUAUCCGGAUUUAUUGGGUUUAAAGGGAGCGUAGGCCGGAGAUUAAGCGUGUUGUGAAAUGUAGACGCUCAACGUCUGCACUGCAGCGCGAACUGGUUUCCUUGAGUACGCACAAAGUGGGCGGAAUUCGUGGUGUAGCGGUGAAAUGCUUAGAUAUCACGAAGAACUCCGAUUGCGAAGGCAGCUCACUGGAGCGCAACUGACGCUGAAGCUCGAAAGUGCGGGUAUCGAACAGGAUUAGAUACCCUGGUAGUCCGCACGGUAAACGAUGGAUGCCCGCUGUUGGUCUGAAUAGGUCAGCGGCCAAGCGAAAGCAUUAAGCAUCCCACCUGGGGAGUACGCCGGCAACGGUGCAACUCAAAUGAAUUGACGGA
rnacentral:rRNA from 1 species